rnacentral:lncRNA from 1 species
UUCACCAUUGAUUCUAUAUGGCCAAAACAACGGCAACUACUGCAACGGCAACAGAUCCGGCAACUGUGAACGUGUUUGCAACGGCACCGUUCUCAGCUGGUCCGGGAGCCAGAGAGGGCGGCAUAGAGAUUGAUGAGGUCGGUGAAGGUGCGCUCGCUGGUGAAGGAGAAGCCGAGGUGGAAGGAGGAGGAGAAGGAGGGGAAUGAACAGUCGCCGGAGAUGGAGCAGACUUCGGUGCUGAUGUCUUCGACGGAGACGGCGCAGAGACAGGUCGUUUGACGAGAGGAGAUGGAGAGGGACCCGGAGUUGGAGAUUGCGCCAUUACAGAGCACAUGAAAAAUGCA